CAUCCGGGGUCUCAAACUCCGAUCCCGAAAUCGACGAGAUACGCCCAGAGAGAAGACGCUGCACAUGGGAACCACGGUGAUGCAGCAGCUGCAUGUUUGGCCGCAGAUGCCGACUUGUCUCACAAAGAUGGAAAGUCAGCCGAUGCUUCCUCUUUGGAGCAAAAUGUUGCAGAAGAUCUGGCCAGAGAAGACCUGCCUUGGGAAGUCGGAGGAGUUCCUUCCCCUUGGGCAG